ANUUNUAACGCUGGCCNGCAGGNCGCUAANANAUGCAAGUCGANCCGGCAAACGACACNANCAAUCCUUCNGGUGCGUUAAUGGGCGUCGAGCGGCGGACGGGUGAGUAAUGCCUAGGAAAUUGCCUUGAUGUGGGGGAUAACCAUUGGAAACGAUGGCUAAUACCGCAUAAUGCCUACGGGCCAAAGAGGGGGAUCUUCGGACCUCUCGCGUCAAGAUAUGCCUAGGUGGGAUUAGCUAGUUGGUGAGGUAAUGGCUCACCAAGGCGACGAUCCCUAGCUGGUCUGAGAGGAUGAUCAGCCACACUGGAACUGAGACACGGUCCAGACUCCUACGGGAGGCAGCAGUGGGGAAUAUUGCACAAUGGGCGAAAGCCUGAUGCAGCCAUGCCGCGUGUAUGAAGAAGGCCUUCGGGUUGUAAAGUACUUUCAGUUGUGAGGAAGGGGGUAACGUUAAUAGCNUUAUCUCUUGACGUUAGCAACAGAAGAAGCACCGGCUAACUCCGUGCCAGCAGCCGCNGGUUAAUA
rnacentral:rRNA from 1 species